rnacentral:rRNA from 1 species
AACGAACGCUGGCGGCAUGCCUAACACAUGCAAGUCGAAGGAGAAGCUAUCUUCGGAUAGUGGAGACUGGCGGACGGGUGAGUAACGCGUGGGAACCUGCCCUUGGGUACGGAAUAACAUCGGGAAACCGGUGCUAAUACCGUAUACGCCCUAUGGGGGAAAGAUUUAUCGUCCUUGGAUGGGCCCGCGUUAGAUUAGCUAGUUGGUGGGGUAAUGGCUUACCAAGGCGACGAUCUAUAGCUGGUUUGAGAGGAUGAUCAGCCACACUGGGACUGAGACACGGCCCAGACUCCUACGGGAGGCAGCAGUGGGGAAUAUUGGACAAUGGGGGAAACCCUGAUCCAGCAAUGCCGCGUGAGUGAUGAAGGCCUUAGGGUUGUAAAACUCUUUCGCUGGGGAAGAUAAUGACGGUACCCAGUAAAGAAGCCCCGGCUAACUCCG